UGGGGAAUAUUGCACAAUGGGCGCAAGCCUGAUGCAGCCAUGCCGCGUGUGUGAAGAAGGCCUUCGGGUUGUAAAGCACUUUUGGCAGGAAAGAAACGUCGCGGGUUAAUACCCCGCGAAACUGACGGUACCUGCAGAAUAAGCACCGGCUAACUACGUGCCAGCAGCCGCGGUAAUACGUAGGGUGCAAGCGUUAAUCGGAAUUACUGGGCGUAAAGCGUGCGCAGGCGGUUCGGAAAGAAAGAUGUGAAAUCCCAGAGCUUAACUUUGGAACUGCAUUUUUAACUACCGGGCUAGAGUGUGUCAGAGGGAGGUGGAAUUCCGCGUGUAGCAGUGAAAUGCGUAGAUAUGCGGAGGAACACCGAUGGCGAAGGCAGCCUCCUGGGAUAACACUGACGCUCAUGCACGAAAGCGUGGGGAGCAAACAGGAUUAGAUACCCUGGUAGUCCACGCCCUAAAACGAUGUCAACUAGCUGUUGGGGCCUUCGGGCCUUGGUAGCGCAGCUAACGCGUGAAGUUGACCGCCUGGGGAGUACGGUCGCAAGAUUAAAACUCAAAUGAAUUGACGGGGUCAUAGCUGUUUCC
rnacentral:rRNA from 1 species